UCCUACGGGGGGCAGCAGUGGGGAAUAUUGCGCAACGGGCGAAAGCCUGACGCAGCGACGCCGCGUGAGGGAUGAAGGUCUUCGGAUCGUAAACCUCUGUCCGCAGGGAAGAACGGUCACUGUGCUAAUCAGCAGUGAAUUGACGGUACCUGCAAAGGAAGCACCGGCUAACUCCGUGCCAGCAGCCGCGGUAAUACGGAGGGUGCGAGCGUUAAUCGGAAUUACUGGGCGUAAAGCGCUCGUAGGCGGUAUGUCAAGUCAAGGGUGAAAUCCCCGCGCUCAACGUGGGAACUGCCUUUGAAACU
rnacentral:rRNA from 1 species